UACGGGGGGGGCAAGCGUUGUUCGGAAUUACUGGGCGUAAAGGGCUCGUAGGCGGCCAACUAAGUCAGACGUGAAAUCCCUCGGCUUAACCGGGGAACUGCGUCUGAUACUGGAUGGCUUGAGCUCGGGAGAGGGAUGUGGAAUUCCAGGUGUAGCGGUGAAAUGCGUAGAUAUCUGGAGGAACACCGGUGGCGAAGGCGGCAUCCUGGACCGACACUGACGCUGAUGAGCGAAAGCCAGGGGAGCAAACGGG
rnacentral:rRNA from 1 species